rnacentral:rRNA from 1 species
UGCAGCGACGCCGCGGAGGGAGACGGCCCCGGGUUGUAAACCUCUUUCACCAGGGACGAAGCAGCGUGACGGUACCUGGAGAAGAAGCACCGGCUAACUACGUGCCAGCAGCCGCGGUAAUACGUAGGGUGCGAGCGUUGUCCGGAAUUAUUGGGCGUAAAGAGCUUGUAGGCGGUUUGUCGCGUCUGCUGUGAAAGACCGGGGCUUAACUCCGGUUCUGCAGUGGGUACGGGCAGACUAGAGUGUGGUAGGGGAGACUGGAAUUCCUGGUGUAGCGGUGAAAUGCGCAGAUAUCAGGAGGAACACCGAUGGCGAAGGCAGGUCUCUGGGCCAUUACUGACGCUGAGAAGCGAAAGCAUGGGGAGCGAACAGGAUUAGAUACCCUGGUAGUCCAUGCCGUAAACGUUGGGCGCUAGGUGUGGGACUCAUUCCACGAGUUCCGUGCCGCAGCUAACGCAUUAAGCGCCCCGCCUGGGGAGUACGGCCGCAAGGCUAAAACUCAAAGGAAUUGACGGGGGCCCGCACAAGCGGCGGAGCAUGCGGAUUAAUUCGAUGCAACGCGAAGAACCUUACCAAGGCUUGACAUACACCGGAAUCAUGCAGAGAUGUGUGCGUCUUCGGACUGGUGU